UACGGGGGGGGCAAGCGUUGUUCGGAAUUACUGGGCGUAAAGGGCUCGUAGGUGGCCAACUAAGUCAGACGUGAAAUCCCUCGGCUUAACCGGGGAACUGCGUCUGAUACUGGAUGGCUUGAGUUCGGGAGAGGGAUGCGGAAUUCCAGGUGUAGCGGUGAAAUGCGUAGAUAAUCUGGAGGAACACCGGUGGCGAAGGCGGCAUCCUGGACCGACACUGACGCUGAGGAGCGAAAGCCAGGGGAGCAAAACGGGG
rnacentral:rRNA from 1 species